rnacentral:misc_RNA from 1 species
AAAAUACUCAAACAUACCAGAGGAGCCAAGCCUCUAGUCUAACAGUUGAUUCUUGCUUCUGGGCUUAUGUUGAGGAAGCUAUGAUCUCUUGUCAAGUGUUGAAAGAUGGACAAAGUAGUAGUCCACAAGACCAAGAAUCAGCUAGAGAAAACCUGAUCAAAUUUGAGCAGUAUGUAAUGGACAUGGUUAAUAACUUCUUGGUGUCUCCUGAGAUUUUCUUGUCUCAAAGCAGCUUCAUGCUGUGGUGGAAUGAAUAUUCCAAAGUUGUAGGAAAUUCAUAUACCUCACCCUUGACUAAUU